rnacentral:rRNA from 1 species
GAUCCUAGCUCAGGACGAACGCUGGCGGCGCGCCUAACACAUGCAAGUCGAACGAGAGAGGAAGAGCUUGCUUUUCCGAUCGAGUGGCGAACGGGUGAGUAACGCGUGAGGAACCUGCCUCAAAGAGGGGGACAACAGUUGGAAACGACUGCUAAUACCGCAUAAGCCCACGGCUCGGCAUCGAGCAGAGGGAAAAGGAGCAAUCCGCUUUGAGAUGGCCUCGCGUCCGAUUAGCUGGUUGG